CCACACCAUAAGCAAACUCAAGAGCUUCCACUCCACACUUGUCCACACGUUUUUGCCAUCAAGCUUCCAAGCUUCCAAGUGCUCAAGUGUCCUAGCUUUCCAAAGCUUCAAAAGCUCUCCAACUUCUUCUUCUAAUCUUCUUGGUCAUUUGUACAAGUAAGAAGUGUUGUUUGCUUUGAUAUUCCACUCCUCUAAUCACCUCUUGUGUGUGUCCACUUUGGUUGAGAGGGUUGUCUCAAUAGUACCAAAGUGUGAGGAAAGGUUUGUGAGCUCAACCAUAAAAGCUCUGUUUGGUUUUAUAGAGUUUCCAGGAAAACUCUUAGGUGUGAGUCUACCUGUAAAAGACUGGUUCCUAAGCGAAGUAGCCUUAAAGCUUAGAAAGGUUCUUAAGAGUGCCCUUUAAUACUCUAAGGUGUGAGUCUACCCGUAAAAGACUGGUUCCUAAGCGUAGUAGCCUUAAAGCUUAGAGAGGUUUAUUAAGAGUUCCUUGAAUACUCUAAGGUACUAACUUACCCGUAAAAGUUAGAGGUUCUUAAGAGUGCCCUGUAAUACUCUAAGGUGUGAGUCUACCCGUAAAAGACUGGUUCCUAAGCGUAGUAGCCUUAAAGCUUAGAAAAGGUUUUGCCAUUACCUUUAGGCGAGUGAAAUCCGGCAGUGGGUCGGGACUGGACUAGCCCGUGU
rnacentral:lncRNA from 1 species